CACUCUGGUGGAUCAAAGCAAGUUCAAUAUAAUGCGGUUUCACCUAUAACACGGAACCUGAACAAUGAGCACAUAGAAUCUUUCUUUGGGAAUACACCUUCUGUUCAAGUAUCUCAAAGUGUGUUACAAGUGUCAUCACAUCACCGGGAAGUAGUUCCCUCUAGCUCUCAAAUGGGACUUUAGCCGUAGUUGGAGCCAGCUACGCACAGCAUUAGCGAAGACGUGCUGCCGGACGGCCUGGUGCACUGCUUGCUGACUGACACUGGAGCAGGUGCGGAACAGAGACCAUCAGCAUACGGUGACCCUUUUGCCCAGAGCCCUCAUAAGACCCCCAGAAGCAAUGAAUGGGGGGAAGUGAGGGACCAGGCACAACCUUGUGGGACUCCCAACUGCAGGCCAGGACUGGCUCGGACACUGAGGGGCUGCCCUGCCAGGGCCCAUGGGAAGUCACCAACCCACAGCUGCCAUAAGGCCACUGGCCAGAGGCUCUGACCGUUCCCUGCAAAGCAUCAGCAAGACUAAUUGUAAAGCGAAGAGAAGUUCUGCUCCUCCUCUCCCCAGAUGCCUGGACUUUGGCCUCGGCUUUACUGUAACUGCCAACAAAGCACCAUUUCAACAGAACUGGUAAAAGUCCAUUGGGAGCAAUCAACAGGCCUAAGAAGAAUCCGGUUAUAAAACCUGAGUCGAAAGGACAGGAAGGUGUCAGGAUGCGCAGGGACUUUACCCAGCUUUGCAGAGCAUCAAGGAACAGCCACAAAAUCAAACUGCUCUUUGUCUGCCUGCAACGGGUGGCAAGAGCCCCUUUCCUGGCAUCUCCCCAAACAAAGCGAGUUCUGUUCCUAAUGUAGCCUGGGGGAAGCUGGGACAGUGCCCUUUGCAUUCAGCUUUGAAACAUGUUGUCUUUGUUCCCUUGAGCUGCAGGGACAAAAAAUAUAUAUGUCUGUAAAUGAAGACAGCCCCCUCCU